UACCGAGGGUGCAAGCGUUGUUCGGAAUUAUUUGGCGUAAAGCGCGUUUAGGCGGCUUGUUAAGUCGGGUGUUAAAGCCCUCAGCUCAACUGAGGAAGUGCGCCCGAAACUGGCGAGCUUGAGUGUCGGAGAGGAUGGCGGAAUACCCCAAGUAGAGGUGAAAUUCGUAGAUAUGGGGUGGAACACCGGUGGCGAAGGCGGCCAUCUGGACGACAACUGACGCUGAGACGCGAAAGCGUGGGGAGCAAACAGG
rnacentral:rRNA from 1 species